rnacentral:SRP_RNA from 1 species
GCCGGGCACGGUGGCGCGUGCCUGUAGUCCCAGCUACUCAGGAGGCUGAGGUGGGCGGAUCGAUUGAGCCCAGGAGUUCUGGGCUGUAGUGCACUAUGCAAUUGGGUGGGUGUCUGCACUAAGUUCUGCAUCAAUAUGGUGACCCCCCCGAAAGCAGGGGACCACCAGGUUGCCUAAGGAGGGGUGAACGGCCCAGGAUGGAAACUGAGCAGGUCAAAACUCCCAAGCUGAUUAGUAAUGGGAUCACACCUGUGAAUAACCACUGCACUCCAGCCUGGGCAACAUAGCAAGACCCUGUCUCA